UUUAUUAUUAUUAUUAUUAUUAUUAUUGCUGCUGUUAUUAAAUUAUUAAGUUGGGGUUGAUUCUUGUUCCACAACUAGGCCUGCUAUCCUCCAGCCCAGAUGGGGGCGGUAAUGCUUUAGCUGCUAGCUAGAUAAAUGCAAGAAGAAUGCGAAGAAGACCAGAAAGUCUUGAGGAAAAAGUCAGACGCCAGCCAUGUGUGAGCAGAGGAUGAAGAUUGCUCAAACAAGUUUUCAGGCGAAGUUUCCAGAACCCAGACGCUCCGUGACCCAUAUCACACCCUCUACAAGCAGGUGUGUGUAGGCAUCAGCACUGUCAUCUGCAGUCAUGACCGAAACUGCUGAAGUCUGAAGUUGAUUACCUGCUCAACUGAUGAUCACUACAUCUGCCAGGGCUCGUUCGUAGCGGCAGAAGUCAGUCAUGAUCCCCAACUGGGUCCCUGCACCUCUUCAAACGCAGCAGUGCGUCCUUUCAGAGGGGAAUGUGUGAUGUUGCCGGAGAGUCACGUUGGCCUCAUCAUUGGGGGGAGGAUGAGUGUGUGCCCGAGCAUGUGGCCGCUCCUAACAUCUGGCGUGUCAGCUUCUGGCCUGGAGAUGGCACUACAGUGUAGAGGACGACCCAUGCCAGGGCUCUUAGAUUCGGACCCGAGUUCCUGAGUUGGACAUCCCUUAGCUUCACAAUGACGACCUGCACUCGGACUGGAAGCUACGUGGUGUCUGAGACUGUCUGCUUCUGGAGGAUCAUGUUGACAUCAACUUGUGGAAGGUGGUGUCUGAGAGUGUGUGACUCUUCUGGAGGCUCAUGGCAUGAUCCCAUGCAAGGAUGAGUGUGUGCCCGAGCAUGUGGCCGCUCCAAACACCUGGCGUGUCAGCAAUGCUUCUGGCCUGGGGGGGGCGCUACAGCGUAGAGGACGACCUAUGCCAGGGCUCUUAGAUUUGGGCCUUACCUUCACAAUGACGACCCACACUCGGACUGGAAGCUACAUGGUGUCUGAGUAUGUGACGCUUCUGGAGGCUCAUGAUCUCAUCUCAUGCAAGGUGUGACUCUGUAAAUCGGCAGACUGGACGGCUUCCAAUACAGACGACGACUGACUGGAACCCAUGUAUUUGGUGGAUUUGCUGGUGAAUGUGUGCCACUCAUGUGUGCCUUUUCUGCUGCAGCGGAGUCAAGACAGAGCUGUGCUAUACUCAUGUACGGCGUGACGUUUUCCAUGUGCGUUACUAAGCCCUGUAAAGAACCCAGUAGUCAGUGGUUCUAUAAUUGUUUUGUUAUGAGAAUUCUAGUAUGUUUGUUGCCGCUGUUAUGAUUUCAAGAUUUUAAGAGCAGUCAGAGCCUAAUGAACCCGUAAGUGCAACCACGUAAGUGCAACCUUACGGUGGUACCAGAUUUAUGUACAUUGAAGAGAAAUAAACCACAUGAACUUGGACCAGCAGUUGUCGGAAGGCCAUUAUUUAUGGGAACAUUACAGUAAGGAAUUGGACCACACCUGCCACCGUAAGGAAUUGGUUGCACUUACGGGUUCAUUGACUACUGGGUUCUUUACGCGCCCUUUUGUGGGGGGAAACAACCCAUGCAAGUCAAUUGGUGAUGUUGGGGUUUAAUAAACGAAAGAUACGGACCUGUAGGCUAGCGUUGUUCACGCGCAACAUGCCGAAAACGUGUUGUGUUGCCGGCUGUUCAAAUAAUAGAGCCCAACAGCCGUGGCUGAAGCAUGGACUGUGUUCAUUUAGACAAGCCGAUGUAGCAUGUAAGUCAAUGAGACAUUUGGUUUGCUUUCACCCAUAAAGGGGUGUAACGCAAAUUUAAGAGCAAAGUACCCGGAUGGCCGUUCAUGAGUAAGGAGGCCACUAACCAAAUGCUACGUUAUGGUCCACAUGUGACUGGCUGCAGGAAAGCGGGACGUAUGGGCCAUUUCUCAAACAUCAAGUGUAUCCAAUCACUGGUGCACAAUAGACUUUGAGAAAUGCCCAUUGAGUUGAUGACAGCAGAUGGUCAGCUUUGCGAGUGAUGCUGGCAGAGACAUGACUACGACUUCUCUUGGUCUACCACAUCGGAAAUCGUUUCUUUGACAGCCCGCUGGGCCUAUGUAUCACAUUUCUGUUGAACACAUGUCACUGGUGAAAUAAAGAAUUGUUCCAAGCUCAA